rnacentral:lncRNA from 1 species
GAGGCAUCCAUAGCAUCAAAGGACCAAGAUGGGCUCAGGGUGCCAACCAAGCCAAGAAGAUAAAGUUCUAUAGAACCUGAAUGGAACAUCCAGCAGCAGCAACUAGCAGCAAGCAAUACAGAGGCUGGGUCAGAUCUGUAUCUUCAGCGAUGUGCCUGAGGCCCACAUUAAACCUUAGUCCCAUACUUCUGCUCUAGAAAUCCCAGCUGAAAGAGCUGAAAGUGAGAAGAUACAUCCCUCCUCAAGAAUAGGCCAAAAGCUCUUUCUGAAUCUCAUCCUCAGAGAGAUCUUAGAAAAGGAAGACCAUCUCCUUGGAAUGUUUCAAGUCAGAAGAUUACACUGUGAGAGGGAAAAAGGAAUGUUUCUAUCACUGACAAGCUAAGUGAGUCUACAUCCUAUCUACAGGGUAGGAAUACUAAACACAAUUAGGAGAUCAUAAAACAACCAAGUAUUAGUUCAUUCAUUCACUCAUUCUUCUGUAAUGCACUGUCUUUGUUGUAUUAGCAUGGCAAAUCCAAAGUAUAUAUAAUAUGUGUAAGUGGCUGUCAGACUCAAUUUGCUUUUACUAAUAUACUAAAAUGGCAGUGCUUUUUAUAACUUUCUCAGAGUAUCAAGAUGUUUGACUAUAUUUACUUAGAGAUACACAGUGUUGCUUUACCAUAAGAGCUAGUAAAACCCUGCAAAAGGGAGUGAAUGUAAGACUUUCAGUUGUCAUGCAUGCCAUGGCCGGAAGUAAUCCAGGGUGGCAGCACACGAAGAAGAGAACUUCAUAACUGGAAUCUCCCACCAGCACAGAGAAGACUGUGUAAAAUUCUGUAGAGCCUGGUAAAUGGAUAUGAGCCACACAGAAUCUGAUUUGAUGAGAUUUUCAAUUUGUGAUUUGAUAUUUGUUAUAUUAUAUUUUUCUAUUACGGUGUCUCUUAUGAAUUUGUACCGUGUUUUCUUGCAAGGAAAGAAACUCCAAAAUGACCCAGUGGAUUCUAUUUUCCAGCACAGACCAGUGGAGGAAAAUAAAAAUCAAAACUGAAUGUGAAAACUCCUUUAAAAAGCAACUUAGAUUUCCAAACACUUAAACUGUAGUUCUUACUCAAAAUAUUUAACCAAUUAUACGUCAUUAUCAUGGAUUAAUUUAAAUAAAUUCAAACAGAUAGGUAAAAAUGUGAUUUGAAUAUAUCACAGCUACAUAUUAGAAUGUUUAGUGCCCAGCAAGUUACUUUUUACAUUACACUUUGAGGUUACAUUAUGGGUUGAGAUGAAAUGUUACAGUAUCCAGGCUUUUGCAUUACUCAUCCUCCCAACCUAAUACAGAUCUUUGUCUUAUAAAAGCCAAAUUAUCAGAAAGGUCAAGGGUGAAGAAGUAAGAGCACACGUAGAAAAGAAGGUUACAAAUGGAAUGGAGCUCUGUGUACCCUACUUAGCACUGCAGCAAAGGGGCUGCCAUUUGCCAAGAUAUUUCAUUCUCACAAACAUUUUAGAUAGAGUUUAGUUGAUAAGUUUAUCUUUAUAUCUGGGUGAUAAAGUUUUGUCCAAUGUAUCUUCUGUUCAUAGUACAGUCUACCCUGAUUUGACAUUAUAGCCAUUUUUGAAACAUACUAUUGUAACCACAAAACUGAGUCUGAUCCAACCACAACAACUCAGCCUCAGCCAGGAGCACACCUAAACACAUCUAGAGACUGCCAUAUCCAGGGAUCCAUCCGAUAAUCAGCCUCCAAACGCUGACACCAUUGCAUACACUAGCAAGAUUUUGCUGAAAGGACCCUGAUAUACCUGUCUCUUGUGAGCUUAUGCCAGGGCCUGGCAAACACAGAAGUGGAUGCUCACAGUCAGCUAUUGGAUGGAACACAGGGCCCCCAAUGGAGGAGCUAAAGAAAGUACCCAAGGAGCUAAAGAAGUCUGCAACCCUAUAGGUGGAACAACAAUAUGAACUAACCAGUACUCCCCAGAGCUCAUGUCUCUAGCUGCAUAUGUAUCAGAAGAUGGCCUAGUCGGCCAUCAUUGGAAAGAGAGGCCCAUUGGUCUUGCAAACUUUAUAUGCCUCAAUACAGUGGAACGCCAGGGACAAGAAGUGGGAGUGGGUGAGAAGGGGAGGUGUGGGGGGGUAUGUGGGACUUUUGGGAUAGCAUUGGAAAUGUAAAUGAAGAAAAUACCUAAUAAAUUGUUAAAAAAAGAAGGUAAAUACCAAUUAAGUUAAAUUUGCUAGAUUGAAAUGUAAAGUUAUUCAUAAAGAUAUCAUUCUCAGAACAAUGGCUCCCUGGUUAGGAGUGCUUGCUGCUCUUUAGAGCAGGAGUUUGCUUCAAGUAUGGUGGCUGAAAGCUGACUGUGAUUUCAGUUCAAGUGAUUGUACACCCUUUCACAUGUAAUUAAACAGAAAAUAAAAUAACUGUAAAAAUACUAACCUCAAAAAAAAAAAGAUUGAACUUAAAUAAAUGCUCAAUAUUUCC